UACGAAGGGGGCUAGCGUUGCUCGGAAUCACUGGGCGUAAAGCGCACGUAGGCGGCUCUCUAAGUCAGGGGUGAAAUCCUGGAGCUCAACUCCAGAACUGCCUUUGAUACUGGGAAGCUCGAGUCCGGAAGAGGUAAGUGGAACUCCGAGUGUAGAGGUGAAAUUCGUAGAUAUUCGGAAGAACACCAGUGGCGAAGGCGGCUUACUGGUCCGGUACUGACGCUGAGGUGCGAAAGCGUGGGGAGCAAACAGG
rnacentral:rRNA from 1 species